GCUGGGCUUGGUGGUGCAAGCCUGUAGUCCCAACUACUCAGGAGGCUGAGGUAAGAGAAUCACUUGAGCCUGGGAGGUUGAGCCUGCAGUGAGCUGUGACCCUGCCACUGCACUCCAGCCUGGGCAACAGAGUGAGACCCUCUCUCAG
ensembl:misc_RNA Metazoa_SRP Metazoan signal recognition particle RNA